rnacentral:misc_RNA from 1 species
UAUUUGACACGCAUCAAAAAAGCACAAAAAGAAAACAGAUCUGUGGUUUAUUCGCUUUGAGGGAAUUUUAUAAAUAUUUUGCAAUCCUGUAUAACACGAAUAAAUUCAUAAUGAAGGGGCAACCUACGAAGGAUGUAACGCAGUUAAUUCAUGAAAUAAAAGUCGGGAACGUGGAAGGCUCUUACAACAUUACAACAAAAACAUUGAAAUUAUUUAAGAAAAUUAUCAAUGGUCUUGGAUGGGCGCAUGCAGAUGAACUCAUGAACAUAGUGCGUACGCAAGGACAUAUUCUGCAAUCCGCAAUGCCGCAGGAGACUGUAACCGCCAAUAUUGCUCGUCGCAUUCUGAAGCUGAUACGUGAGGAGUUCGACUUACUGCAAGCAAAGGUACACCAAUUCACAGAUGAUCAAGCGUCCAUGUCACUGCACAAACUGGUUACACAAACGAGCAAUGAUGUUAGCGUCGAUUACACGAAACCACAACAGGGGUUACGUGAGGCACUGCUGGAUCAUUUGCAAGAAAUCGAGACAGAAUUGGAAACAAGUUCAGAAAAUAUUUGCGCGCAAGCUGAAGAGCAUAUACACUCCUCAGAGGUUAUACUAACUUUAGGGCACUCGCGUAGUGUUGAAAAUUUCCUUAAACGUGCUGUGAAGAAACGCCAAUUCUUGACUAUCAUCAUAGCUGAGUGUGCGCCCGAUUGCAGAGGUCACAAUUUGGCAGCGAGCUUGGCAAACGGUAACGCAGAGAUAAUCGUUAUACCAGACUCUGCCAUUUUUGCAAUGAUGUCGCGCGUCAACAAAGUCAUCAUUGGUACACAUAGUGUACUUGCUAAUGGAGGGCUGCGUGCGGCUUGUGGUUCAUAUACGGUUGCUCUAUCUGCUAAACAUUAUUCAGUACCGGUUAUUGUACUGUCGCCUAUGUACAAAUUGUCGCCGGUACAUUUGUGCUCAUUGGAGCAAGACGCAUUCAAUUUGGUAGGCUGCGCGGAAGAUGUUAUCGGAUACGACUCGCUGGCUUCUCACUCUGCUAAAGUAUACAGUCCCAUAUUUGAUUACGUACCACCAGAGCUUGUAACGUUGUUCAUUUCAAAUAUAGGUGGCCAUGCACCGUCAUAUGUGUACCGGCUAUUGACUGAACUCUACAAUCCAGAAGAUUAUGAGAUUUAAAGAACAGCGCCACUAUUUUUAAACUUCCACACCCUAAAAAUUCUAGCCUAAGCAUUUCAAGCUUUCGCAAUAAGUAAAGCACACAAACACCAGCAACAACACCAAAGUAAUCAUCAAUCGCAGCAGUGACCACAACAUACCCAAGGCAGAGAACACAGAAGACACCAAGCCAAC